GCAGUAGCCGCGGGAAUACGUAGGUCCCGAGCGUUGUCCGGAUUUAUUGGGCGUAAAGCGAGCGCGGGCGGUUAGAUAAGUCUGAAGUUAAAGGCUGUGGCUUAACCAUAGUACGCUUUGGAAACUGUUUAACUUGAGUGCAAGAGGGGAGAGUGGAAUUCCAUGUGUAGCGGUGAAAUGCGUAGAUAUAUGGAGGAACACCGGUGGCGAAAGCGGCUCUCUGGCUUGUAACUGACGCUGAGGCUCGAAAGCGUGGGGAGCAAACAGGAUUAGAUACCCGGGUAGUCCCUGUCUCUUAUACC
rnacentral:rRNA from 1 species